UCGUAACAAGGUCUCCGUUGGUGAACCAGCGGAGGGAUCAUUACUGAGUUACCGCUCUAUAACCCUUUGUGAACAUACCUACAACUGUUGCUUCGGCGGGUAGGCCGUCCCCUGAAAAGGACGCCUCCCGGCCGGGACCGGACCCCCUGUGGGGCCGGGCCCGGCGCCCGCCGGAGGAUAACCAAACGCUAUUUUAACGACGUUUCUUCUGAGUGGCAUAAGCAAAAUAAUCAAAACUUUUAACAACGGAUCUCUUGGUUCUGGCAUCGAUGAAGAACGCAGCGAAAUGCGAUAAGUAAUGUGAAUUGCAGAAUUCAGUGAAUCAUCGAAUCUUUGAACGCACAUUGCGCCCGCCAGCAUUCUGGCGGGCAUGCCUGUUCGAGCGUCAUUUCAACCCUCAAGCUCUGCUUGGUGUUGGGGCUCUACGGUCGACGUAGGCCCUCAAAGGUAGUGGCGGACCCUCCCGGAGCCUCCUUUGCGUAGUAACAUUUCGUCUCGCACUGGGAUCCGGAGGGACUCUUGCCGUAAAACCCCCCAAUUUUUCAAGGUUGACCUCGGAUCAGGUAGGAAUACCCGCUGAACUUAAGCAUAUCAA
rnacentral:rRNA from 1 species